UACGUAGGGUGCAGGCGUUAAUCGGAAUUACUGGGCGUAAAGCGUGCGCAGGCGGUUUGCUAAGAGAGAUGUGAAAUCCCCGGGCUUAACCUGGGAACUGCGUUUCUAACUGGCAGGCUUGAGUGCGGCAGAGGGGGGUGGAAUUCCGCGUGUAGCAGUGAAAUGCGUAGAGAUGCGGAGGAACACCGAUGGCGAAGGCAGCCCCCUGGGUCGACACUGACGCUCAGGCACGAAAGCGUGGGGAGCAAACAGG
rnacentral:rRNA from 1 species